rnacentral:rRNA from 1 species
CCCGCACAAGCGGUGGAGUAUGUGGUUUAAUUCGAUGCAACGCGGAGAACCUUACCUGGUCUUGACAUCCCGGAGACCCUUAGGAAACUAGGGGGUGCUUCCAUCUGGAAGAAUCUGGAGACAGGUGCUGCAUGGCUGUCGUCAGCUCGUGUCGUGAGAUGUUGGGUUAAGUCCCGCAACGAGCGCAACCCUUGCCUUUAGUUGCCAGCAGUUCGGCUGGGCACUCUAAAGGGACUGCCGGUGUUAAACCGGAGGAAGGUGGGGAUGACGUCAAGUCCUCAUGGCCUUUAUGACCAGGGCUACACACGUACUACAAUGGCCGAUACAAAGGGCAGCGACACUGCGAGGUGAAGCCAAUCCCGUAAAAUCGGUCUCAGUCCGGAUUGGAGUCUGAAACUCGACUCCAUGAAGUUGGAAUCGCUAGUAAUCGCGCAUCAGCAUGGCGCGGUGAAUACGUUCCCGGGCCUU